UUAGGGAUAAUGCUUGUUUGUUUUCCUUCCAUUAAGGCAUGAUGGGCUCAUGUUACUGUUACCCCGGAGGCUAGCAAGACAGCUGUGUUUAGCAGUGGAACUUCAAAGGCGUUUAAAGGGUGGAUUCCUGUUGGUGGUCAUUGACUUCCAAGUUCAGGGGUAGGGGCUCGACUUGAAUGGUAGAAAGCUCAGAAGAAUCCAGCAAAAAAUAAUACUUCUGAGGUAAUAAAUAAAAUUAUGCCGUAUCGUAGUCCUUUUAUGUACUGGCAUUGUAUGGUGUCCUUAAUAUGUACCCUCACGGACAACAUCUCGUCACCAUUGCUGUAUUGUUAAAAGUAUAAUAAUAAGGCCAAGGAAAAUUAGGUUUACAUUAUUGAAGUGAAAUCAUGCUGCAAGGCCUGAUGUUAAUAAUAGAGCUGCGAUGGCUCCUGUUAGGGGUCAUGGGCUAGGGUCAACUAUGUGGAAGGGGUGUGCUUGGUGAGUCAUUAGAUGUUUUCUUGUAAAUAAAGGGUUAGAAGUAGCACGAAGACAUAUGCUUGAAUUAAGGCGACAGCUAUUUCUAAGCAGGUUAAUAUAAUUAGGACAAUAAGAGUUAUUGAUGCAGUUAAAGUUAUAGUGUUAAUAAGGGCUAAUACUGCUGUUGAAGUAAGCUGAAUUAAUAAAUGUCCGGCUGUUAAGUUAGCUGUUAAGCGUACGCCUAAUGCAAUUGGACGAAUAAGUAAGCUAACAGUUUCGAUUAUUACUAAUAUAGGAAUUAAUAGCAUUGGUGUGCCUUCUGGGAGAAGGUGGCCUAGUGAAGCUGUUGGUUGAUUUCGUAGGCCAAUUAAGACUGUUAUUAGUCUUUAUUAAUGGCGAGAGCUAUAUUUAUUGAAAGUUGAGUGGUUGGGGUAAAUGUAUAAGGUAAUAGUCCUAGGGUAUUAAAUAGUGUUAGUAUUAGUAAAAGUGCUAUAAAAGUACUUGCUCAUUUAUGUCCUGCAAUAUUAAUAGGUAAUAUUAUUUGUUUUGUAGCAUUAAUAAUGAGUGAGGAUUGAAUGAUUGAGUAGCAGUUUUGGAUAAGGCGGUUGGUUGAAAAUCAGAUAGUUAAUGGAAAGAAUAAAGCUGGAAUAAUUAGGGGAACUCCUAGCAUAUUGGGAAUUGCAAAUUGGUCAAAAAAACUUAGGGCCAUGGUCAGGUUCAGUAGUAGUUGUUGGGUUGAUUUUUAUAUUGUGGGGUUGAAAGGUAGGAAUUGGUAUUAAUGAUUUUUGUAAAAAAUAUAAUGAGGGUUGUUCAAUACAAAUAUUAUGAAUCAAGGGGCGGGAUUAAGUUGAGGCAUGUCACUAAGGGAAAUUGUUUCCCUCUCUAGCUUAAAAGGCUAGUGCUGUAAGUUAGCUUCUUAGUGAUGAAGAGAUUAUUGUUUUAGAUCAUGCUUCAAAGUGUUUUAAUGGUGUUGAUUCCACAACGAUGGGUAUGAAGCUGUGAUUUGAUCCACAAAUCUCUGAGCAUUGGCCGUAAAAUAGACCAGGGUGGGAUGUAAUUAAAGUGGUUUUGUCAGGGGUUCAGGAGCAGAGGCACAGGAAAGGGAGGAAAUAGAGAGCGAGGGGGAGGAGUCCGAAGGAAAUGUUAGCGAUGACAGCGGUCCGAGGUCUCUGAGUCUUUCCAGCGAAUCGGAAGAUUCACAGAAAGGGGCUCCCUUGGUCAGAGCAAGGGGUGUGCCGAGGGGGACACCCCAGGAAGAAGGGGCCAGAGGGGACUCAGAGAGCAGCAGUUGGAAAUCAGGACCAGCGUCCACACCAGAGUGCAGUAGGGGGGAGGAGUCCCAGGCAUCGGGAUCAGGCGGCGCACUGCCAGUGGGAGGACAUGAGUCAGGAUUGGCCACGCCUCCAUCGGGGAGCGAGGAAACGGUCGAGAGGAAGGUUGAAGGCUGGGCGCGCGCGCCAAGUUCAAAUGUACAGGAGGGCGGCGCAGUUGGCAGCCCGGAUAGGGAGCCAGGUCCCAAAGCCCGCCGAAAAGAGGGGAAGGAGUCAGGGGGGUCAGCGUCAGAAGAAUCCAGGAAGGAAGGGACCCGGGGGUAGCAGGACCCAGAGGAGAAAGGAGAGACGUAAGAGGUGGAGUAAGGCUAGAAUCUUAAACUGGUGUACAGGGGCGGAGACUCAGAUGGAGCUUCGCCGAUCUAACCCCUAGACGUAGAGCUGGGGCGCUCCGGCUUGAAAAUGGAAACUGUACUUCAAUAAAGACUUUUGCACAUUACUGCCGGCUAGCGUUGGUCCUCUGUGAGCUGGGACCUGGAGCCAGCUCUGACAGUAAGCUCCAUCUCUUAAAGUUUUGCACCAAAAACCUCGUAACGUGAGUGGACGCAGCGAGGGAAGAAGAUUGGUGCUUUGCGAGCUCACAAAAGUCAGGCAAGAUGACUACAGAACAGCAACUAGCAGCCCUGCAAAAUGCAGUGACACAACUCAACGCGGAGGUACUCGCAUCCAGGAAAAGGGAAGAGGAAGCGGCUGCCGCCUGCAGGGAUCUCCAAGCCAGGUUGGAAGUGCUUGCUAAGCAGGGGCAACCGGGACCCAAAUCAGAGGGGAUUGGGCUGGGGAAAAGAGGAGGCAGCCUGGUAUCUCAUUUCGAUGGGAAUUUGCAGCAGUACCCUAACUUCCGAGCAGACGUGCUGUUUGCGCUGGAACUGCUGGAUAAAGACUUUAGAGAUGAGCAAGAGAAGGUGGGGUUUAUCUUGUCCCAUUUGCAUGGGGAAGCUAAAGCGUGGCUGCGCAAUCUGUGGAGAGAUAAGGAUCCGGCGCUCCAAAAUGCGGAUGCAUUCAUUAAAGCGAUGGAUUCGUGUUUUUAUCAAAUAUAGACAUUGAUAUCGCCAGAAAAGACAUACAUGGGCUCAAACAAGGCAGAGCCAGUGUAAGGCAGUACCAUUCCCGCUUUUUUUGCAUUAGUCCAUGCGCUGGGAUGGGAGAAGGAUUCUGCCCCAGUCAGAGACCUUUUUUGGGAAGGCUUGAAUGCAAAUGUGAAAGAUGAGAUUGCAAGGGGGGAGAGACCAAAGAGCACUCAGGAGGUUGUCCGGCGGGCGCUGCAAAUUGGGGUGCGUCUGGAAGAACGUCCAUGGAACAGAGAAGAAGGACGUUGGGGACGUACGCCAGUGAGAGCACCUCCCCUCUUUCCCAAGGAUACAGCGCGUGUGCAAUCCCCACCUCCGCAAGGAGGGGGAGAGCAACCGAUGGAGAUUGGAGGCGCCAGGGCUCAGUCAACAACCAGAGCCUUAACACCGGGAGCAGUCAAAGCGAAGCCUCCUAGAGGGAACAGGAAGUGCUACAUCUGCGACAGUGCUCAGCACAUGGCGAAAGAGUGUCCCCAGAGGCUCCACAAGCACACUGCAGCCUCAGCAACAGUAACAGAAGCAACUCAGCAGAGAGAAACACAGCAGGGAAACGACAGAGUCUGGUUGGAGGAAGAGGCACUGGGGCCCAACCAGACAAGUCAAUGAAGCCGUCCCCAGAGAUUUUGCAGCCCACAGACCCCCUCCCGCCCAAACCAGUGGUGCAGCUCACAGCAUCGCUCCAACUACCCAAUGGACUCACUAUGGAAGUGCCGAUUACCAUUGACUCUGGUAGUAACGCAGACUUCAUAGGACUGGAUUUCCUUCAAGAGCACAACAUAGCACUCCUGCCAGCCACGCUGCCUCUGAAAGUUGUCACGGUGGAUGGCAGGGAAUUGCUGGGGGCAGGUGGUGCAGCAAACGCCUCCGAUGGUGAUGCAAAUUGGGAAUCACCGAGAAGUCAUCAGCUUCAAUGUCACCCAACUGUCGGACACGCCUAUAGUAUUAGGCAUGAGUUGGCUGCACAGGCACAGCCCAGCAUUGGCGUGGUACCAGCGACAACUGACCUUCGGCUCCUCAUACUGUGCGGAACAUUGCAUUCUGCCUAGCCCGGAAGGGGAAGAGGAUGACCCGCAGCUACAAUUAGGCACGCUGCAAGCAGUGCCACUCAAGUACGCAGCGUUUUGGAGGUUUUCUGCGAGAAGGAAGCGGACAAGCUACCUCCCCACAGGUCUUAUGACUGCAAGAUUGACCUCCUGCCAGGGCGACGCUGCCAUGCGGGAAACUGUAUUCCAUGUCCGAAGACGAGCUGCAGGAACUCAGGGAGUUCAUAGACCUCAACUUGAAGCGCGGUUUCAUCCGGGAGUCGAAGGCAGUGGGGGCAGUCCUGUAUUCUUUGUGAAGAAGAAGGACACGCCCCAAAAAAGGCUUGUGGUGGACUAUAGAAUUUUGAACUCAAAAACCAAGCCCACAGCCUUUCCCAUGCCCAAGAUAGAUGACCUGCUCGCAACGGUGAGGAAAGGACGCGUUUUCACAAAGUUGGAUCUGCGAGGGGCGUACAACCUGAUUCGCAUACGGGAGGGCGACGAAUGGAAGACUGCCAUGUUCACGCCCCUGGGCACCUAUGAAUACAGAGUUAUGCCCUUUGGAUUACAAAAUGGCUCCCACUGUUUUCAAGCCUUCAUGCAUCACGUAUUGGCGGGUCUCCUCUACACGAAAUGCGUCUGCUUCCUGGACGACAUCCUGAUAUUUUCAGAAUCAGAGGAGGCCCACGAGGGAGACGUCAAGGAAGUUCUGCAGAGACUGCAGGAGCACAGGCUGUACGCCAAGCUGGAAAAGUGCCAGUUCGACAUGAAGGAAGUAGAUUUCCUGGGCUACAAGUUGUCGGACAAGGGGCUCGCCAUGGACAGCGCCAAGGUUCGCUCAGUGUUGGACUGGAAGAGCCCGCGCAAUCGGAAGGAGGUCCAACGGUUUGUCGGUUUCGCCAACUUUUACCGCAAGUUCAUCAAGGGGUUCGCGAUGCAGACGGCAGCCAUUACCGACACACUCAGCUCCAAGAAGAAGAAGUUCAUCUGGACGGAGCAAGCGGAACAGUCCUUUCAGAAACUCAAGCGUCUCUUCUCGUCCGAAGAGCAGCUACUGCAUGUGAAUCCCAGCAGACCGAUGAGGGUUGAAACGGACGCCUCAGACAGAGCAGUGGGAGCAGUACUGUUGCAGCAAGACCCGCAUGGGGACUGGAGACCGUGUGCCUUCUACUCCAGGAAGCUCAGCAAGUCAGAGCAGAACUACACCAUCUGGGACAGGGAGUUGCUGGCCAUUCAUGCAGCAUUCAAGGCGUGGCGGCACUUCCUCAUUGGAGCCAAACACACAGUGCAGGUCCGCACGGACCAUAAAAACCUGGAGUACUGGCGCACGGCAAGGUUCCUGAACCAGAGGCACAUACGAUGGGCGGAGUUCUUUGCGGAUUUCGACUUCAGGAUAGAGUACAUCUGUCAGAGCUGGCUCCAGGUCCCAGCUCACAGAGGACCAACGCUAGCCGGCAGUAAUGUACAAAAGUCUUUAUUGAAGUACAGUUUCCAUUUUCAAGCCGGAGCGCCCCAGCUCUACGUCUAGGGGUUAGAUCGGCGAAGCUCCAUCUGAGUCUCCGCCCCCUGUACACCAGUUUAAGAUUCUAGCCUUACUCCACCUCUUACGUCUCUCCUUUCUCCUCUGGGUCCUGCUACCCCCCCGGGGUCCCUUCCUUCCUGGAUUCUUCUGACGCUGACCCCCCUGACUCCUCCCCCUCUUUUCGGCGGGCUUUGGGACCUGGCUCCCUAUCCGGGCUGCCAACUGCGCCGCCCUCCUGUACAUUUGGACUUGGCGCGCGCGCCCAGCCUUCAACCUUCCUCUCGACCGUUUCCUCGCUCCCCGAUGGAGGCGUGGCCAAUCCUGACUCAUGUCCUCCCACUGGCAGUGCGCCGCCUGAUCCCGAUGCCUGGGACUCCUCCCCCUACUGCACUCUGGUGUGGACGCUGGUCCUGAUUUCCAACUGCUGCUCUCUGAGUCCCCUCUGGCCCCUUCUUCCUGGGGUGUCCCCCUCGGCACCCCCUUGCUCUGACCAAGGGAGCCCCUUUCUGUGAAUCUUCCGAUUCGCUGGAAAGACUCAGAGACCUCGGACCGCUGUCAUCGCUAACAUUUCCUUCGGACUCCUCCCCCUCGCUCUCUAUUUCCUCCCUUUCCUGUGCCUCUGCUCCUGAACCCCUGACAUCAUCCCAGGCGACAACAACAUCAUGGCGGAUGCACUGUCCAGAAAGCCGCAAUACCUCGAGGAGGCGGCACCAGCAGCGGCCAAGCACAUUUUCGCACCGAAAGCGUGGGCGUGCGCUUCAGCAACCGUGGACCUGGAUGCUGUACGUCGAGCACUGCAGGAGGACCCCUUCGCGCAAGCAAAGAUGGCAGAGGUGCAAAGGGGCACGGCGGAGGACGACGAGUUCCAGAUACGCGACGGAUUGCUCAUCCGCAGAGGGGCCCUCUACGUACCGGGAGACGACCUCCGCGCGAAAGUACUGCAGCAGUUGCACGACGCACCCACCGCCGGGCACUUUGGCAAAGAGAAGACGGUAGAAUUAGUAGCCAGAGAUUUUUGGUGGCCCAAGAUGCGGGGGAAGUCGCGGAUUACGUCUCGAGGUGCGACACCUGCCAAAGGGCCAAGUCAGUGCACAAACCGCCGGCGGGACUGCUCGAACCGCUGCAGACACCGAUCGAACCGUGGGAGAGGGUGGCCCUGGACUUUGUCACGGAUCUACCCAGCUCGAGGGGCAAGACGGCAGUGCUAGUGGUGGUGGACAUGUUCACCAAAAUGGCCCACUUCAUUCCGUGCGCGAAGGUGGCCACGGCGGAACAGACCGCCAAACUGUUCAUAGACCACGUGUUCAGGGUUCACGGUCUGCCACGGUCUAUCCUGUCCGACCGGGGCGACAGUUCAUCUCGAACUUCUGGCAGAAGCUGAUGGGUUUCCUGAACGUCAAGAUCAACCUAGCGUCGGCGAGACACCCGCAGACGAACGGACAAGCGGAGCGAGUCAACGCCAUCAUGCAGCAGUACCUGCGAUGCUACGCAAAUCAGCAGCCGGCAACAUGGGUGGACUACCUGCCGCUCGCUGAGUUCGCCUACAACAACACGAAGCACGUGUCCACGGGGUGACACCGUUCUUCGCCAACAACGGGAGGCAUCCCAGAACCUUCCCGGGAUUAGCGAGAGAGGGGGAGGGGGGCCACAGGCAGCGGAAGCCUUAGCAUCAGAGUUGCAGGAGGUUCACGAACAGCUUCGGAGGCAGUUAGAACUAGCAAAGCACGCAUACAAACUGCAGGCUGACAAGCACAGAAGGGUUGGGGAAGACAUACAGGUGGGAGACUGGGUUUGGUUAGCAGCCCAGGCAGUGCCGGCCAGAUCGUUAGCGAAGAAGAAGCUAGGGCAUAAGCAGCUAGGACCCUACCAAGUCGAGGCACAGGUCAAUCCAGUGGCCUUCCGGUUGACACUGCCGGAGGGAUCCAGAAUGCACCCAGUUUUCCAUAGAUCAGUGCUCACGCCCUACAAAGCACCUCAUAGAUUUCAGGAGCCAGGAACGGCACCAGACCCGUUCAGGGAAACGCCCACAAGGGGGGGGUCGCCAAGGCGGGAACCCGUCAACGAAGUCACAGAGAUUUUAGACUCGAGAUGGGGGGAGGAGGGAGUGGAAUACCUCCUCGCCAAGGAAGGUACCCCGGCUAGCGCCAACAGUUGGGUGCCAGAUUAUGCUCUGGAGGAAUCUUGGCUUAAGGACGAGUUCCAUGCCCUUUUCCCACACAGGCCCAUGCCAGCCGAGUAUUUCGACGACUGGCUUUUCACACCCACAUUUUCAGCUAGCACAUUCCAGGGGUUCACCUCGGACGAGGAACCGGCACUAGAAACACGUUCCCCGGAGGGAUCACCCUCGGGGUCUGCCUCAGACCGUUCCUAUUGGUGGGACAAUCAACCAGAGGAGCAGUGGCGCAGGAAGUGGUUGGGGGGUCCUUGGCAGGCAACGUCCCCGGAGGAGACCCGGGGAGAGACGGACAUGGACGUGUUGGGGGAGGACCUUGGGUUCGAGCACGGCGGCAAAGAGAUGGAAGCAGAGGAAAUUGAGGUCGGCGAGAGCACGGAGGACGAGCCGGACUUAUCCGGCUGGAUGCACGCCACGGGGGACGAACUGUAUCCGGCACUCACCCCCACAACGACGGAGCACCCAGUACCCACACCUGAAGGAGGGGAGGGGGAAGGGGGGCUUCGAGGGGGAUGGAUGUCAGGGGUUCAGGAGCAGAGGCACAGGAAAGGGAGGAAAUAGAGAGCGAGGGGGAGGAGUCCGAAGGAAAUGUUAGCGAUGACAGCGGUCCGAGGUCUCUGAGUCUUUCCAGCGAAUCGGAAGAUUCACAGAAAGGGGCUCCCUUGGUCAGAGCAAGCGGGGUGCCGAGGGGGACACCCCAGGAAGAAGGGGCCAGAGGGGACUCAGAGAGCAGCAGUUGGAAAUCAGGACCAGCGUCCACACCAGAGUGCAGUAGGGGGGGAGGAGUCCCAGGCAUCGGGAUCAGGCGGCGCACUGCCAGUGGGAGGACAUGAGUCAGGAUUGGCCACGCCUCCAUCGGGGAGCGAGGAAACGGUCGAGAGGAAGGUUGAAGGCUGGGCGCGCGCGCCAAGUUCAAAUGUACAGGAGGGCGGCGCAGUUGGCAGCCCGGAUAGGGAGCCAGGUCCCAAAGCCCGCCGAAAAGAGGGGGAGGAGUCAGGAGGGUCAGCGUCAGAAGAAUCCAGGAAGGAAGGGACCCCGGGGGGGUAGCAGGACCCAGAGGAGAAAGGAGAGACGUAAGAGGUGGAGUAAGGCUAGAAUCUUAAACUGGUGUACAGGGGGCGGAGACUCAGAUGGAGCUUCGCCGAUCUAACCCCUAGACGUAGAGCUGGGGCGCUCCGGCUUGAAAAUGGAAACUGUACUUCAAUAAAGACUUUUGCACAUUACUGCCGGCUAGCGUUGGUCCUCUGUGAGCUGGGACCUGGAGCCAGCUCUGACAGGUUUGGUUUAAUCGACCUGGGACUGCAUCUGUUUUAAUGCCAAGUGCUGGGACAGCUCAUGAGUGUAGAACGUCUUCUGCUGAAAUUAAGAUUCGAAUUGGGGAUUCUAUUGGAAUUACAACUCGGUGGUCUACUUCUAAUAGGCGAAAACUUCCGGGCCUUAGGUCGCAUGUUGGGAUUAUAUAAGAGUCGAAUAGCAGGUUUUCGUAGUCAGUAUGUUCAUAGCUUCAAUAUCAUUGGUGGCCAAUAGCUUUAAUAGUUAGAUGG